UACAGAGGUCUCAAGCGUUGUUCGGAUUCAUUGGGCGUAAAGGGUGCGUAGGCGGCGCGGUAAGUCGGGUGUGAAAUCUCGGAGCUUAACUCCGAAACUGCAUUCGAUACUGCCGUGCUUGAGGACUGGAGAGGAGACUGGAAUUUACGGUGUAGCGGUGAAAUGCGUAGAUAUCGUAAGGAAGACCAGUGGCGAAGGCGGGUCUCUGGACAGUUCCUGACGCUGAGGAGCGAAAGCGUGGGGAGCGAUCCGG
rnacentral:rRNA from 1 species